rnacentral:rRNA from 1 species
AUUGAACGCUGGCGGCAUGCCUUACACAUGCAAGUCGAACGGUAACAGGUCUUCGGAUGCUGACGAGUGGCGAACGGGUGAGUAAUACAUCGGAACGUGCCUAGUAGUGGGGGAUAACUACUCGAAAGAGUGGCUAAUACCGCAUGAGAUCUACGGAUGAAAGCAGGGGAUCGCAAGACCUUGUGCUACUAGAGCGGCCGAUGGCAGAUUAGGUAGUUGGUGGGAUAAAAGCUUACCAAGCCGACGAUCUGUAGCUGGUCUGAGAGGACGAUCAGCAACACUGGGGCGGAGAAACGUACCAGACUCCUACGGGAGGCAGCAGUGGGGAAUUUUGGACAAUGGGCGCAAGCCUGAUCCAGCAAUGCCGCGUGCAGGAUGAAGGCCUUCGGGUUGUAAACUGCUUUUGUACGGAACGAAAAGCCCCGGGUUAAUACCCUGGGGUCAUGACGGUACCGUAAGAAUAAGCACCGGCUAACUACGUGCCAGCCGCCGCAGUAA